rnacentral:rRNA from 1 species
GCACGAAGGUUGGCUAAUCCUGGUCGGACAUCAGGAGGUUAGUGCAAUGGCAUAAGCCAGCUUGACUGCGAGCGUGACGGCGCGAGCAGGUGCGAAAGCAGGUCAUAGUGAUCCGGUGGUUCUGAAUGGAAGGGCCAUCGCUCAACGGAUAAAAGGUACUCCGGGGAUAACAGGCUGAUACCGCCCAAGAGUUCAUAUCGACGGCGGUGUUUGGCACCUCGAUGUCGGCUCAUCACAUCCUGGGGCUGAAGUAGGUCCCAAGGGUAUGGCUGUUCGCCAUUUAAAGUGGUACGCGAGCUGGGUUUAGAACGUCGUGAGACAGUUCGGUCCCUAUCUGCCGUGGGCGCUGGAGAACUGAGGGGGGCUGCUCCUAGUACGAGAGGACCGGAGUGGACGCAUCACUGGUGUUCGGGUUGUCAUGCCAAUGGCACUGCCCGGUAGCUAAAUGCGGAAGAGAUAAGUGCUGAAAGCAUCUAAGCACGAAACUUGCCCCGAGAUGAGUUCUCCCUGACUCCUUGAGAGUCCUGAAGGAACGUUGAAGACGACGACGUUGAUAGGCCGGGUGUGUAAGCGCAGCGAUGCGUUGAGCUAACCGGUACUAAUGAACCGUGAGG